CAGUCGCCACGGGAAUACGUAGGUGGCAAGCGUUGUCCGGAAUUAUUGGGCGUAAAGGGCUCGCAGGCGGUUUCUUAAGUCUGAUGUGAAAGCCCCCGGCUCAACCGGGGAGGGUCAUUGGAAACUGGGAAACUUGAGUGCAGAAGAGGAGAGUGGAAUUCCACGUGUAGCGGUGAAAUGCGCAGAGAUGUGGAGGAACACCAGUGGCGAAGGCGACUCUCUGGUCUGUAACUGACGCUGAGGAGCGAAAGCGUGGGGAGCGAACAGGAUUAGAUACCCCCGUAGUCCCUGUCUCUUAUAC
rnacentral:rRNA from 1 species